rnacentral:piRNA from 1 species
UCCCUUCAUCUCAGGAACGUGUGACUUUA